UGGGGAAUAUUGCACAAUGGGCGCAAGCCUGAUGCAGCGACGCCGCGUGGAGGAUGAAGGUUUUCGGAUUGUAAACUCCUGUUAAGUGGGACGAAAGACUCAUGGCUAAUAUCCAUGGGGGAUGACGGUACCGCUAGAGAAAGCACCGGCAAACUUCGUGCCAGCAGCCGCGGUAAUACGAAGGGUGCGAGCGUUAUUCGGAAUGACUGGGUGUAAAGAGCGUGGAGGCGGUUUGGUAAGUCAGCUGUUAAAUAGCCCGGCUUAACUGGGCAAAUGCGGUUGAUACUACAAGGCUAGAGUACAAGAGAGAAGAGUGGAAUUCUCGGAGUAGCGGUAAAAUGCGUAGAUCUCGAGAGGAACACCGGUUGCGAAGGCGGCUCUUUGGCUUGUAACUGACGCUUAAGCGCGAAAGCGUGGGGAGCAAACA
rnacentral:rRNA from 1 species